AUGAAAAAUUUGCAAAGAAUCCCUUUAAUAAAGCACCUCAUCAUGGUAUCAAUAAGUUAGCCGAAGUCUGCACCGACUUUGACAGGAAAACAAAAUUCAGCCCGAGUCGACAACGAUCCUCUUCUGAUGCUCAUUGAUAUGAAUAAAAAUAGCUAGGACUCAUGUUUACAACGUACUUAAAGAGCAAGUAACGUCUAAAUUAACUUUUUUUUGCUGAUGAACUGUAUAAAUGAGUGUCUAAUAGUGUUUUAAAUGUGUGUAUUCAUUAUUUUAGCAUUUUGGUGCAUUUUCUUAAAAAAUUAAAAAUUCUGCCUAAAUACCACAGUAUAGCUCCACCUUCAGCUUAAAACAUAGAAUAUGACUCAUUUUGAAUAAAUUUUAGCCAAUGGCUAAAGAGUAAGAUACUACGUAAACCAGUAGAGUACUACGUAGCAGCUCUGUGUCAACGUUAUAAAAGCAUCGGGAGUCUCGGCCACGCCUUGUGGCGAGUUGGGAGUUGGAUUUGCAUGAGAGUGUAGGAGGCUAGCCGUAAUUCAGCAUUAGCAUAUAGCAUUAGCAUAUCCUAGUCUUUAGCAUAGCUUUUAGUGUUAUACAUACUUAUUUAGUGUUAGCUUGGCUGUUGGAUAUUGUAGUUUAGUUACUGUUUGGCUGUUAGUGUAAUUAGGAAAGUAGUUCGGGUUUAGUGCUCCAUAUCGUGUUAGCAUGGUGAGAUGGUGUAGUGUAGUAUGGUUGCGGAGCUCUGUCGGGUUGCACUCCUUUCCGCUGGACUUAGAAAUUAGGCGCCAGUGGUUGCGUGUCUGGAAAAGAUUCAGCUCCCGCCUGGUGCUGUAGUUUGCAACCAGCAUUUUACCCACGAUUCUGCACGUCUCCGUUCCAAGAGGGAGGCUGUGCCCACUGUGGCUCUUCCGCGAUUUAGAUACAGCCCACCGACUCUGCUCCCCCACCAUGACGGGCUACAGUCUGAGGUGAGUAAGCUAAAUAAAAGUUUUAACAUCUUCUAAAGACAAUUCCCUUCCUAAAUGCAAAGUUUGAGAGACGUGGUUCACUCCAUUUAGCUAAUAUCAGCCUGCACUGCCUUCGGGCUGAUUUGUCAAGUUCACAAAAUGUGGAACGGGAUGUAAGGUUGGAAUCAGCGGCGAAUCGGAACAUAUCUCAAAGCCCUGGCCGACAAAACGGUCCACAUGACUGUCAGGCUCAGAGAAAAUUCGGGUUGUUUUUGUGUCAGUCGGUAAUUCUGCAACAGUGACUCUAAACUGACGCAGCACUAGUUGACAGACAGCAUUACAGCGUGAAAUCUAGCACAGCGUGACCCGGUUCCGUGAGGAAUUCUGUUCCGGAGGUCGCAUUUCAGGGUCUCCACAUCAUAUGUGACUGACUUUUACGUUAUAAUAACAUCACACACUAGGAAUGUUAUAAAGCGCCUAUAUGGGACAGUGUCUUUUGUAUUUUAUCUGACUUUAUAAACAUCAAUGUGCUUCUAUUUUUUUUUCAGGCUAAAUCUACCCAAGACACUGACUGUCAGACUGAUUUAGUAAUCUGCAAGAAUGCACUUGUCCAGGCUGACGUGGUGUUACCCGUAGCAAAGAGCUCACAGCCUCAGUGUCUUGUGACACAGGGACCAUGACAGAAAUUCAUCUUCCAGAAGGUCCCAGAGCAUCCACACCUCCUGAAAAGACCAAGGUGUGAGGUGUCUGCUGUUGAUUCCAGCUUCCACCUCAGUGACAGUGCAAGCUCAGUGAACUGUUCAAGGUAAAAAAAUUAAAACAUUUCUGAAUUUUUAAGAUAUUAACAAUUAAAUAAGUAUGUGAUUACAUCAUGAAGGAGGCUACUGAUUCUGGCCCUGUGACACUUGGUGGUGACGUGUGAGCUGAUUCACCUGGUAAAUAACUUUUAAAUUAAAUAUUUUGUUUUUGCUAUCAAAAGUAAAUUAACUAAUAACCUGCAUUACUGCAGGACACUCAGCAAAAUAUGGACUCUACACCAUGAGGCAGGCACACGUUAAUAACUCUAUAAGAGCACAUAAGGUAAGCAACACCACAUAUUAUUAUUAUUAAUGUACACUGUCCUGGAUUUGUUUUCUUUCUGCAUCUCAUUAGCCUGGCUGAUCACCUGAUAACUCCUGUCAUCUGGUUAUGACAGCAUGAGGAUGUCCUCACACACCUGUAACCUAUCAGCUCAUCUAGCAGAAUAGAGAGAGAAGAGACAACACCACAUCUCCUGUUCCUGGAAAGCCUUCAGCCAUCCUUCGAUGACUGAGAACCUCCAUCAGCUCUGUCUCCUGUCUGCCUACAAUUAUUAUAAUAAAUAUUGUGUUUGACAAGUU